AGUGAACGCUGGCGGUAGGCCUAACACAUGCAAGUCGAACGGCAGCACAGUAAGAGCUUGCUCUUACGGGUGGCGAGUGGCGGACGGGUGAGGAAUACAUCGGAAUCUACUUUUUCGUGGGGGAUAACGUAGGGAAACUUACGCUAAUACCGCAUACGACCUACGGGUGAAAGCAGGGGAUCUUCGGACCUUGCGCGAUUGAAUGAGCCGAUGUCGGAUUAGCUAGUUGGCGGGGUAAAGGCCCACCAAGGCGACGAUCCGUAGCUGGUCUGAGAGGAUGAUCAGCCACAUUGGAACUGAGACACGGUCCAGACUCCUACGGGAGGCAGCAGUGGGGAAUAUUGGACAAUGGGCGCAAGCCUGAUCCAGCCAUACCGCGUGGGUGAAGAAGGCCUUAGGGUUGUAAAGCCCUUUUGUUGGGAAAGAAAAGCAGCAGGUUAAUACCCCGCUGUUCUGACGGUACCCAAAGAAUAAGCACCGGCUAACUUCGUG
rnacentral:rRNA from 1 species